GGGCGAGUGAGGCCAAAGCGAGUAAUUGAGUUGAGACAUAAGCAUAUCAGGUUGAACGUCAAGAGGAUGGAGAAAUGAUCGGAGUCGAUGCUACUAAAUAAUCCAGUGGAUCUUUUCACGAUUCGUGUCUUCAUACACGAAGUCGUCUAGUAUGGACUUAUUCCGCUGCUCUUUUGUGAAGUGAGACAUCUUAGAAUCUCACCUUCGAACUCUGAUUUAUUGAUGUAAUGUUUAUUCUAGUUCUAAGACCAUGUAAUGGUACAUUUGACUUCUAUUCUAUGAUAUGAUCGACUUGGCCUUCGGGCA